GGUCCUGUGUGGCUCAGUCGGUAGAGCAUGGCGCUUGCAACGCCAAGCGCCAUGCGUCGUGGGUUCGAUUCCCACUGGGGCCA